GAUGAACGCUAGCGGCAGGCCUAACACAUGCAAGUCGAGGGGUAACAUAGAAAAGCUUGCUUUUCUGAUGACGACCGGCGCACGGGUGCGUAACGCGUAUACAACCUACCUUUUAGCGGGAAUAGCCCAGGGAAACUUGGAUUAAUGCCCCAUAGUAUAUAGACUUCUCCUGAAGUUUAUAUUAAACAUUUAUGGCUAUUAGAUGGGUAUGCGUCCUAUUAGUUAGUUGGUAAGGUAACGGCUUACCAAGGCAGCGAUAGGUAGGGGUCCUGAGAGGGAGAUCCCCACACUGGUACUGAGACACGGACCAGACUCCUACGGGAGGCAGCAGUGAGGAAUAUUGGACAAUGGGCGAGAGCCUGAUCCAGCCAUGCCGCGUGCAGGAAGACUGCCCUAUGGGUUGUAAACUGCUUUUACAGAGGAAGAACCACCCCCACGUGUGGGGGUUUGACGGUACUCUGCGAAUAAGGAUCGGCUAACUCCGUG
rnacentral:rRNA from 1 species